rnacentral:rRNA from 1 species
AUUGAACGCUGGCGGCAUGCUUUACACAUGCAAGUCGGACGGCAGCGGGGUAGUGCUUGCACUACUGCCGGCGAGUGGCGAACGGGUGAGUAAUAUAUUGGAACGUACCGAGUAAUGGGGGAUAACCAAUCGAAAGAUUGGCUAAUACCGCAUACGCUCUGAGGAGGAAAGCAGGGGACCUUCGGGCCUUGCGUUAUUCGAGCGGCCAAUAUCUGAUUAGCUAGUUGGUGGGGUAAGGGCCUACCAAGGCGACGAUCAGUAGCGGGUCUGAGAGGAUGAUCUGCCACACUGGGACUGAGACACGGCCCAGACUCCUACGGGAGGCAGCAGUGGGGAAUUUUGGACAAUGGGCGCAAGCCUGAUCCAGCCAUGCCGCGUGUCUGAAGAAGGCCUUCGGGUUGUAAAGGACUUUUGUUAGGGAAGAAAAAGGAGCGGUUAAUACCCGUUUCUGCUGACGGUACCUAAAGAAUAAGCACCGGCUAACUACGUG